rnacentral:rRNA from 1 species
UACGGAGGGGGCUAGCGUUGUUCGGAAUUACUGGGCGUAAAGGGCGCGCAGGCGGAUUUUUAAGUCAGGGGUGAAAUCCCGGGGCUCAACCUCGGAACUGCCUUUGAAACUGGGGAUCUUGAGUCCGGAAGAGGUGGGUGGAACUGCGAGUGUAGAGGUGAAAUGCGUAGAUAUUCGCAAGAACACCGGUGGCGAAGGCGGCUCACUGGACCGGAACUGACGCUGAGGCACGAAAGCGUGGGGAGCAAACAGG